rnacentral:rRNA from 1 species
GAUGAACGCUGGCGGCGUGCCUAAUACAUGCAAGUAGAACGCUGAAGGAGGAGCUUGCUCUUAUGGAUGAGUUGCGCACGGGUGAGUAACGCGUAGGUAACCUGCCUGGUAGCGGGGGAAAACUAUUGGAAACGAUAGCAAAUACCGCAUGACAACAGUUAUUGCAUGAUAACUGUUUAAAAGGGGCAACUGCUCUACUACCAGAUGGACUUGCGUUGUAUUAGCUAGUUGGUGGGGUAACGGCUCACCAAGGCGACGAUACAUAGCCGACCUGAGAGGGUGAUCGCCCACACGGGGACGGGGACACGGCCCAGACGCCUACGAGAGGCAGCAGUAGGGAAUCGUCGGCAAUAGACGGAAGUCUGACCGAGCAACGCCGCGUGAGUGAAGAAGGUUUUCGGAUCGUAAAGCUCGGUUGUAAGAGAAGAACGAGUGUGGGAGUGGAAAGUUCACACUGUGACGGUACCUUACCAGAAAGGGACGGCUAACUACGUG